GUUUUUAUGGUGUAAGAAGCACGUUAGAUUUUCAAUCUUUUAGUACAUAAGUUAAUGUUAAAAAU
rnacentral:tRNA from 1 species